CCUGGGGCUGGUGAGCCCACUUGGCUGGGAGGGUCCUGGGCGUCUGGCUGGUGGAGCAGAGCACAGACCUCGGCUGGUGCCAGCCAGGGAUCUCAUGGUGAGUUGGGAGGUUCCCGGAAUGUCUAAAGCACGCCCACGGGCUGUGUGUGUUCAGCUCUGAGCCACCUGGCUGAAGAGACAGAAUCACCCUCGGAUUAGUCAGCGUAUUCCACCUGUGGGAACAACGGGAAGGGCGGAUCAGAGAGGUAGGUGGCAGGUCACAACCAGCUGGGGGCUCUGGGCUGUGUUCACAGGCUCAGUACUAGACCCCGGAAGGAGGUGGACGACAAAACAGGGAGACAGAGAAGGUGAAUUGCAGGUGGAGAAAAGGGCUGCCAAGGUCAUGAGCACGUGGCCGUGAUGGGGCAUGGGGAUGACCCACUGCAGAGCGUGGCCUCAGGUGGGCCUCUGUCUCCCGAGGAAAGCUUCCAGCCCAGACGUGUCCCUGUCCGUGAGGAGUAGUUCAUCCCGUGAAGAGCCAUCAGCAAAGCCUCAGGGGACCUGUAUGAAGGUCCUAGGGUGGAGAGACCCCACAUGUCGUUGGCACUGCAGAGAGGCCAGUGCCAUCGGAGUCCAGAGAGCCAGCUGGGGCCAGCAGUGGCUGGGAAGAAGAGCUGAGGUCCCCAGAGGCCAGAUAUCCACUGGGGUCACUGUCAGAAGCUUGGGCUUCAUUUUCCAAAUCCCUCGAAGUGUCGUGUGGCCACAUUUACACAGGUUCCCGAGCCUUGGGCUGGACAGAAGAAUUCACUGGGAGGCAAAAGCAGAGGCCUUCUAGGAAUCUAGUGCCUCGUCCAGACAUGAG
rnacentral:lncRNA from 1 species